GGGAUUCCUUUAGUAAUUGCGAAUGAACAAGGAUAUGCUUAGCUUGAUAAAUGGGGCCUCUGGCUUUGAAUUGUGUUUUUGAAAUGUAUUUCCAACAGAGGUGCAGGUGUUAGCAUAUUGGAAGAAAGCGUCAAUGAGGGUGAGAAUCCUUUUUGUCAUGUGCAGUCCUCUGUACACGGUGUAUGUUUGCUGAGUCACACUCCUUGGCAUUGGAAUGCAAAGUGGGUGGUAAGUUUCAUGUAAAGGUAAAUAUAUGAUUGAGACUGAUAGUGCACAAGUACCAUGAGGGAAAUAUGAAAAGGACUUUGAAAAGAGAAUUAAAUGAGUUUGUAUUUGCUGAACUGAAAGUAAACAGAUUUGAUUUUGAUGGGUGAGAUUGUGGUGCUUGCUUGACACUAUGGUGUGGUCUAAGUACAAUGAUUCUUGCUUUGUGUGCCAGCUUUUUACACAUUUGAACAUGCAUGCGCAUGAAUGGUAUUAUUCCUGUGGGGGGUUGGAUUGCAUGCGUGUAUAAGCAUUUGUGUGCUUGAAGCAUGUGUUUGGUGAUGUUGGUGUGUGCACAUAUUGUUCUUCAGGAUGUUUUCUUCCUGUGUCAACAAGCCUUAGCGCAGAUUUGCUGGUGAAAUGCUUCUGCUUGACCCGUCUUGAAACACGGACCAAGGAGUCUAACAGAUGUGCAAGCUUUAGGGUUGCAAACCUUUGUGUGUAAUGAAAAUAUUGGCUGGGAUAUUUGCACCAGCAGCCGACUAAUUAACAGACAGAGGUUCGAGUUUGAGCAUAUUUAUUAGGACCCGAAAGAUGGUGAACUAUGCCUGAACAGAAUGAAUUCAGAGGAAACUCUGAUGGAGGUUCGUAUCGAUACUGACGUGCAAAUCGUUCGUCAUAUUUGGGUAUAGGGGCGAAAGACUAAUCGAACCAUCUAGUAGCUGGUUCCCUCUGAAGUUUCCCUCAGGAUAGCUGGAGUUGCACAGUUUUAUCAGGUAAAGCGAAUGAUUAGAGGAAUUGGGGACAUGCUUGUCCUUGACCUAUUCUCAAACUUUAAAUAGGUAAUCUGCAGUGGUUGCUUUGUGGAACUUCUGGAAUAAAUGGCAACAUUGGGUGGGCCAUUUUUGGUAAGCAGAACUGGCGAUGAGGGAUGAACCUAAUGUGGGGUUAAAGUGCUUAAUUACUUGCUCAUCUGAUACCAAAAAGGGUGUUGGUUCAUUUUAACAGCAGGACGGUGGUCAUGGAAGUCGAAAUCCGCUAAGGAGUGUGUAACAACUCACCUGCCGAAUGGACUAGCCCCGAAAAUGGAUGGCGCUGAAGCGGGUGACUGAUACUCAACCACUGCUGGAAAUACAUCAGUGUGUAGGAGGGCAUGGUGGUUUGUGACACAGCUUUUGUGAAAAA
rnacentral:rRNA from 1 species